CGGAGGAGCAAGCCACAAACGUGCACUCACCCCAGCUUCCUGCCGGGGGUGAUGGGCAGUUCCUGGUUUGUGAAAGCUUCUCACUUCUCACGGGAAACACCAGAAAGAACCCCAAGGAAAUAUAAGAAGUUAAACCACACAAGGGAGAAAGAGAAGACAAUGUAACAGCCGGACUGCAUGCUGAAUUUGCACUGCAACCAAGCCCAGGAGUUGGAAGGAGGUGAGAGUCGGGGGAUGGCAUGCAUUCUAGCACAGAAGUUACCGCUGCCUCAAGGUCUCUGCUAAUGUCCUGGGUGGAAGAUGGCCCAGGUGCUUGGGCCCCUGCCUGCAUCCCCAUGGGAGACCCGAACGAAGCUCCUGGCUUUGGAUUAGACCAGCUCUGACUGUUGGGGCCAUCUGGGGAGUGAACCAGCAGAUGGAAGACCUCUCUCUCUGCCUCUCCCUUUCUCUCUGUAACUCUGCUUCUCAAAUAAAUAACUGUUAAAAAAGAAAAAAGUACCUGCCCACCACCUUGUCAUGCUGUGCAGUCUCCAUUCAGUCUAGCCCCUGCCAGGUUUCCUGGCCACGUGUACAUCUUCACCAGAGGUCAGGGACUCACAGGACCUGGCUCCCCAAACACACAGACGUUUGAACUCUGAGGUCUUCAUGGGAAGGGUUGAUGGCUCCUCGCUGGAGACUUCAUCGAAUUAUGAGAGGGGUGCCUGGUGGGGGGGAUCUUUAGGUCACUGUGGUCCCACACACAGGAGACAGUUCUUGAGAGAGGCUUGCUUAUUUAAGCCAAAUUCUGCCUAGUUUCUCUCUCUGCUUCCUGGCUCCUGGUGUCCUCACUCCUCCACCCCUGCUCCACCAGGGCAGCCUCAUUAGAUGCCCAAUUCACAGGCUGCCUGACCCCAAACUGCAAAGCUACACACUACACACCAAAGGACACUCUUUUCUCCCCAAGAAGCUUCGCUCCAGCCUUUUA